rnacentral:rRNA from 1 species
AACGAACGCUGGCGGCAUGCCUAACACAUGCAAGUCGAACGAGACCUUCGGGUCUAGUGGCGCACGGGUUCGUAACGCGUGGGAACCUGCCCUUAGACUCGCAAUAUCUCGCCGAAAGGGGUGCUAAUACCGGAUAAUGUCGUCGGACCAAAGAUUUAUCGCCUUUGGAUGGGCCUGCGUUGGAUUAGCUAGUUGGUAGGGUAAAAGCCUACCAAGGCAACGAUCCAUAGCUGGUCUGAGAGGAUGAUCAGCCACACUGGGACUGAGACACGGCCCAGACUCCUACGGGAGGCAGCAGUGGGGAAUAUUGGACAAUGGGCGAAAGCCUGAUCCAGCAAUGCCGGGUGAGUGAUGAAGGCCUUAGGGUUGUAAAGCUCUUUUACCCGGGAUGAUAAUGACAGUACCGGGAGAAUAAGCUCCGGCUAACUCCGUG